rnacentral:rRNA from 1 species
AUUGAACGCUGGCGGCAUGCCUUACACAUGCAAGUCGAACGGCAGCACGGACUUCGGUCUGGUGGCGAGUGGCGAACGGGUGAGUAAUGUAUCGGAACGUACCUUUCAGUGGGGGAUAACGUAGCGAAAGUUACGCUAAUACCGCAUAUUCUGUGAGCAGGAAAGCAGGGGAUCGAAAGACCUUGCGCUGAUUGAGCGGCCGAUAUCAGAUUAGCUAGUUGGUGGGGUAAGGGCCUACCAAGGCGACGAUCUGUAGCGGGUCUGAGAGGAUGAUCCGCCACACUGGAACUGAGACACGGUCCAGACUCCUACGGGAGGCAGCAGUGGGGAAUUUUGGACAAUGGGGGCAACCCUGAUCCAGCCAUGCCGCGUGAGUGAAGAAGGCCUUCGGGUUGUAAAGCUCUUUCGGCCGGGAAGAAAUCGCAUAGGCUAAUACCCUGUGUGGAUGACGGUACCGGAAUAAGAAGCACCGGCUAACUACGUG